GAUGAACGCUGGCGGCGUGCCUAAUACAUGCAAGUCGAGCGGACAGACGAGGAGCUUGCUCCUCUGACGUUAGCGGCGGACGGGUGAGUAACACGUGGAUAACCUACCUAUAAGACUGGGAUAACUUCGGGAAACCGGAGCUAAUACCGGAUAAUAUAUUGAACCGCAUGGUUCAAUAGUGAAAGACGGUUUUGCUGUCACUUAUAGAUGGAUCCGCGCCGCAUUAGCUAGAUGGUAAGGUAACGGCUUACCAAGGCAACGAUGCGUAGCCGACCUGAGAGGGUGAUCGGCCACACUGGAACUGAGACACGGUCCAGACUCCUACGGGAGGCAGCAGUAGGGAAUCUUCCGCAAUGGGCGAAAGCUUGACGGAGCAACGCCGCGUGAGUGAUGAAGGUCUUCGGAUCGUAAAACUCUGUUAUUAGGGAAGAACAAAUGUGUAAGUAACUAUGCACGUCUUGACGGUACCUAAUCAGAAAGCCACGGCUAACUACGUG
rnacentral:rRNA from 1 species